AGGAAUAAACGCGCCCCGAUCCCCAUCCCCCAAUUCUCUCCCUCUCCCUUUCCCUCGUGUGCCGCUGCCGCCGCCCUCCCCGCAGCCGCCGCCACCACUGGCUCCCAGAUGUGGCGCUGCUCUUCCCCACGGCCCUGACGGCAAGGCGGCGACAAGGAUGAGCUCCACCCGGACGAGGUCGAUGUGCCCCUGCCACACUUCCUUCUCCAUCGCGUCACCAUAUUCGGAGGAGCCACGGCUGCUGCUCGCGCAUCUGCUCCUCCCGGAGUUGUCGCCGUCGGCAGGAGGGAGUGCCGGGCCUCGCGCAAACUCGAGGACCGCCACUCCGGCGGCCCGCUGUUUCUGGCCGCCGUCCGCCUUGUUGGCCCUCUUCGUGGCUUGCCCUCUCGUGCCCCAUCCAUUCGCUACCAGUCAUGCACCAGGGUAAAGCGAAGAAAAUUGUUUCAGCACAUCAACACCCCCCCUCUUGCCUCUGUUUCUUCUGAUUUAUAUGAUUACCCCACGCGCAGAUCACCGUGUGCGACGCCGCUCUUCAGCGCAUCUGUGUGUGCAAUUUGUGUCAGUGCAGGACUUCCGGUGGCUGGACUGGGCGGAGCUAAGGACAAUACACGUACCAUGUCCUAUUUGUGCUGCUGACUACUUUUUUGACCAGUGCCGGGACCUUCCGCCGAUGCUGUCUACGGCAACUCCUCAGCUCAUUCAGGUUGCGGGGUCUGAGAUAUUACGCAUUCAGGUUGCAGAAUCUGAAACAGAUUGAUUUGUUCAUCACACCAAACAAGCAACUGAGACGGCAAGGCGUUUGGAUGAAGCUCUCUGCUUGAUAUGGUUAACUGGAUGGUUUAGUGAUCUGCUGUGGAGGGCUUGCACCCGCCGCCUCUUCUUCCUCUCUCUGCUUCCUUGCCCACCCCUCGUCGCACAUAAGAGCGGCGGCGGUAGUGGAUCUGCGAGAAACAUCGGAAGGCAGGACGUGGGACAGAGCAGAUUGGCGGCGGGAUGCUCCGGAAGGAGCACGAGGCAGAGCGGAUUCGUGCGACGUCACGUCGUGGAAGGAGGCGGGACGACUCGCCUCCUCGCCAUAAUCGCAGCUCCCGUCCGUUCUCGCCACGUCUCCGUCGAUUCCCCCAAUUUUGAGCCACCAAGGCCAUGGACCGGGACCUGUGUGUUCAUUUGAAGACAAGAAAGUGAAAGGGGCGCUUACCUACUUGGCACCGCCGAGCUUCCGCCAGCAAUGGAGGUGAUUGUCUGCUCUCGGUUUCAUGGCGCCAAUGGAGGUGGGUGUGAAGUGAGCACACAAUUGUUCAACGUUGCUGGAUAGGUUCUUCCUGGUCGUCUUCUUUUGUUGAGGCCCGACGUUACAAUCGUGUUAAGG